UCCUUCAUGCACACGCCUCCAACGUUUGAUUAAUUAUUCCUUCGAUCAAUGUAUGUUUUUUUUUCCAGAGAUGUUCAAAAAGCUAUUAUAAAAGAGGGUCGGAUUUUUUCAGUUGUUACCUGGUUUGUUCCUGCCUUCAUCAUUACGCCAUCACAAAGUAAAUGGAGUCCAAAAGUAAAUUAGUGUUGUCAAAUAUUAAUGAAUAACUUGCGGGAAAGAAUAUCUUGCCUUAGACAAGACUACAAGUAAAUCCAGACAUUACUUGUUAUUUUUCCAUGGACUUGGAAACAAAAAACCCGGAUCAUGAGAACUGGACCAGAAAUACCCGGAGCAGGAGGACUCGGACUUGACCUAAACACUAAAAAGUUUGACUCAAAUACAGUUCUAAAAUGAAUAAUUACUAAUUAUUUAUGGAAUAUGAAGAGGAUCUAGAUGAAAAUGCAAAAUGAUUAAAGGGAAUUAUAAAUAGAGACUACAGGUAGUUCAAGACAUUACUCGGAUGCAGAAAGACCCGGAGCAUGAGGAGUCAAACUUUUCCUGAACACUAAAAAGAUGGACUCAAAUACAGCUCUGAAUAUUGGAUCUAAUGGAUCUUUACACAUUUCUUUAAUUAUAUUUAUUAUUUACGAUAUAGAAUGAGUAAUUAUUUCUGGAAUAUGAAGAGGAUCUAGAAGAAGAUGCAAAAUAACUAAUGCAAAUUACUAAUAUAGGUAGAUACGAGAUUAGUAUUAUUUCUUAAUAUUUUUAUAUUGAUUUUUCUAUGUAUGUUUUAUUGAUUAAAACCUCGACGAAAAUGUGUAGUGGCCUCAUUUAUCA
rnacentral:lncRNA from 1 species